ensembl:lncRNA
CACAAUUUCCAGCCUGAGCAUAUCGAUCUCGGCACACAGAGCCGCCUCUCUCUCAGCACGCACAGCUUCCAGAGCCGCCUCUCUCUCUGCGCGCAGAGCGUCCAGAGCCGCCUCUCUCUCAGCGCGCAGAGCCUCCAGAGCCGCCUCUCUCCCAACGCGCAGAGCGUCCAGAGCCGCCUCUCUCCCAGCGCGCAGAGCGUCCAGAGCCGCCUCUCUCUCAGCGCGCAGAGCGUCCAGAGCCGCCUCUCUCUCAGCGCGCAGAGCGUCCAGAGCCGCCUCUCUCUCAGCGCGCAGAGCGUCCAGAGCCGCCUCUCUCUCAGCGGGCAGAGCGUCCAGAGCCGCCUCUCUCUCAGCGUGCAGAGCGUCCAGAGCCGCCUCUCUCUCAGCGUGCAGAGCGUCCAGAGCCGCCUCUCUCUCAGCGUGCAGAGCGUCCAGAGCCGCCUCUCUCUCUCAGCGUGCAGAGCGUACAGAGCCGCCUCUUUCUCAGCGUGCAGAGCGUCCAGAGCCGCCUCUCUCAGCGUGCAGAGCGUCCAGAGCCGCCUCUCUCUCAGCGUGCAGAGCGUCCAGAGCCGCCUCUCUCUCAGCGUGCAGAGCGUCCAGAGCCGCCUCUCUCUCAGCGUGCAGAGCGUCCAGAGCCGCCUCUCUCUCAGCGUGCAGAGCGUCAUUUUCCUCAGUUAUGAAUUGUCACUGAAUCAAUUCUGAGCCGGUGAAUUUAUUGAUUCACUGUAUUAAUUCGGAACAAGUUUGAAGUACUAAUUUGCUGUAUUAGUUCCAAACUGCUUGAUUAACUGAUUCACUGAAUCGAUUCUGAACUGUUUAAUUUACUGAUUCACUGUAUUAAUUCUCUGUUCUGUUUGUGUAACCAAUUAAAUGAAUCAGUUCUGAGCUUGCCCCGUUCACCAAUUUAUCACUUUUCUGUUCCGGACAACUAACAUACCUCACCAAUUUAUUAGAUCGGUUUUAAGUUUGAUUAAUUUACUAAUUUAUUGUAUAGUUUAAGCGUUCUAAGGAGUGUGAUUCACAGGUUCAGGGUAGGAAUACUCUGCUCUAAAAAUUAACUUGAGUCAGUAAUUUGAUAGAGAUUCACUUGGUCAGUUCUGAACUGUUUGCUGUGCUGAUUAACUGUGCUGAUUCUUUGUUCUGAACAACUGAUCCAGAUUCUGUGUAAUGAAUCAGUGAAUCCAAUUAGUUCAAGAUAUGUUCAAAACUGAUUCAUAGACACAGUCAGACUGAAGCAAAAUCAAUCAACUCACUAAAGACAUACUGUCUAUAACUAGUGGUGUGUGUGUGUGUGUAUACCUGGUAGGCAUCUGUGGCUGAAGCUGCGUAUUUCUCCACCGCUCCUUCCACAAACAGUGCUUUCUCAAUGUCCUUUCUCGGGCUUAUUGAUGAGCGGGCGGUCUGUGGACGAGUGGGUGGGCUUAUUGACCAGCGGGCGGGUCUGCUGCCGUGUCUACAGACAGGAGGGUGGUGCAGGUAGCGUGUUUGAUGUGAGGUUGAAUGUAACAGCUCACCUCCGCCCCCACUCUGCUCAUGAGGGAUUACAAACGCUCAAUGCUACGAGGAAUAACACAGCUGAUCAGAGAAAUCCGUCAGCUCGUUCGGC